CGCGUAGGCGGUUUGGUCAGUUAGACGUGAAAUUCCUGGGCUCAACCUGGGGACUGCGUUUAAGACGGCGAGACUUGAGUGUGGAAGAGGGUCGUGGAAUUCCCAGUGUAGAGGUGAAAUUCGUAGAUAUUGGGAAGAACACCGGUGGCGAAGGCGGCGACCUGGUCCAUUACUGACGCUGAGGCGCGAAAGCGUGGGGAGCAAACAGGAUUAGAUACCCUGGUAGUCCACGCCGUAAACGAUGUGUGCUGGAUGUUGGGUGACCUAGUCACGCAGUGUCGUAGCUAACGCGGUAAGCACACCGCCUGGGGAGUACGGCCGCAAGGUUGAA
rnacentral:rRNA from 1 species